UCAUAACUGGUCAACUUGGGAGAC
rnacentral:siRNA from 1 species